CAAAUGGAGUGGCUUCAAGUCUUUGGUGUCCUGGGAUGUUUACUACACUGCAGGGGAACUCUAACCUCGCCACGCCCAGCACAGAAUCCCUCCUAUCUCAUAUCCGUCUCUGAAGUCCUGCGCUGUGGCGUUCCGACCACUUUAUCAGUCAGCGUUCUGGCAGAUUAUCCCAUCAAAGUCACGGCUGAACUCCUCCAUGGAAACAGCAGUGUGGCCCAAACAGAGAACACCAUCCCAGCAGGCUCUACCAGACUGCUGGCUCUUCCGCCUGU